CUCGAAUUCUAGCGGUUAGAAUUCGAUCCGUUUUCGGUUCGAUUUCCAUCAGCCUGCUCGAUUGCUCGAAAACAGACGAUAUUUUUUGCAGUGCUGCAAUGAACAAAACAAAACACGAGCAGUUUUCGAUGGCAGCAAUCCAAGUGCGUGUUUCGAUUUGGCGCGUGUUUGUUGUGAAUUGUGUUGUAAAAUUUGGUCUGUUUCUGCCGUUUCCGCUGUUUCUGUUUAGAAAUGCUUUGAGCGUUUUACAGAAGAAGCCAUUGUCGGGCGAUAAUUGAAUAAAAAGCAAGAAAACAUCAGCCCAUGCAAACAAAGCUUCCAAGGAAAUGUCCCGUGUGUACGGGCUAUGGUGGAAUGUCAUCCCGGACAUCGGAUCCGGAUCCGAAUCCCGAACCCACUCAGAGGUGGUGGCUUCACUUGGAUGACUUUUAAUUAGUUUUUGUCGUGAUACUUCAAAGUGGAAAGCAAGAAAACAUCGACCAAUGCAAAUAAAGCUUCAAAGGAAAUGUCCACACGGUACGGGCUCUGGUGGAAUGUCAUUCCGGACAUCGUAUCCGGAUCCAGAUCCCGGACACGCUUAGAGGUGGUGGCUUCACUUGGAUUACUUUGAAUCAGUUUUCGGUGUGAUAGUGGAAAGCAAGGUCUGCUUUUGACUUGUACAACAAAGUCGGUCACUGGUAGUAAAUGUCAUCGCAAUUUUUAUCACGCCUGAGUAGCCAUUAUUAAGCAAUCUGGUUUCGACUGACCAGCGUUAUUUUAAACAACUGUUCGUUAUUCUGAGAUGGCCCCACGAGCUGCCCUCCGACUCUGUUUGAAUCGCAACUUGUCCGUGUUCGUGUUGACAAAAGGAGUUUUUUACCGAACGAUAAUAAGUGCAACAUGGAGAACAGUAGCCUCAAUGAAUCCAUGAGUUGCGUGGGCAAAUCUCAGUUCGAUAGUAGCGGCCAGUGGCUAGGUUCGAAAAAUUAUUUUUAUUCACCGGUUGGUUACGAGUCGAUCUGAGGCCUGGUUUCGGAAUCUUCAGCUGAACCAAUGCUGCAACAGUCCUAUAGGAGCAACAACGGUUCGGAGAGGUAAAAGAACAAGCCAAGAAGGAGUAGAAGGCUAAGAAAUUAAUGAAGGAGUUUUCCCCGUGUUGGAGGAGAUGGAGGUGCAUUUUAUCCUUCAAUAUCUACACAUCACAGGAGGACUUCUUUAAUGAACGUCCUGCUAACCUUUGACAACUUUGAAAUGUUCAACGAUGACGAUUUGCCGGUGGGCACAGCUGUUCAUAGAAUUUGGGAAGGCGUUGGGCUGAACUGACCGAGAAGCCGGCCACGCAACAACCACAACGACAGCAAUCAUCUUGGCAGCAGGAUCAACAACACUCCGGAUACUCAUCUUGAUGAAAGCAGUUAGCGUCAACCGUUUCAAUUAGUUUAUUAGAAGUUAGUUUAAACAGUUUGACGUUAACAAUAAAUUGUUAAAUUGAAACUCGGUAAAAUAGUAGGAAACCAAGGCCUAAAAUGACCUCCUAGUGGAAAUAACAGGUUUAUUUAAUAGAAUAUGUAAAAAACUGUAGGCAAAUAGGAUUGUAGCAUGACUGCGUUAGAAAAUUUCCAAAAUGAACGUUCACUCGGUCUUAAAAGGUUCAAUUUUGUUUAAAUAUUUCAAACGUUAAACCAGGAAAAAUUGUUAUUACUUUCUAUUAUUUUAUUAUAAUGAAACAGUCAUGUUUAAUACUAGUUAUGAUUUA